CUCCCGCUUCACCGACCCUUUGCGAGGCCUCGGAUUGGCUGGCUGCCUCUGCCUAUCAAAGGGAAGCAGCCCUUCCAGUGCUGGGCGUCUGACUCUUGUCACCCGAGCGUAUUGGAAUAGAGGCGGGACAUUGGACGGCUGCGGUUGUCCCGUUUUGCGGCGGCGGCGGCGGCUGCUCCUCCUUUCCUCGCCGAGGUCAAAGCGAGCCCGGACCAGAGUGGCGCCGCGCGGGGUCAGGUGCAGCGGCCGGGGGGAAGAGGUAUGGUCCUAUACAGAACGUAGAAGCACCAGUCUGGAAAUUCUACUUGGAUCCCAGCUCUCUGAGAGCCGCUCCCACUUCCCAUCACAUUUUCAAGCUUCUCUUUGCUAACAUGGACUAAAAUUUGCUUUUAAAAAUAAGCCAAUAAUUUAUGGGUGCUGGAUUUUUAACCCAGAAUUAACUUCUGUACUGGAAUGUUUGUAUGGAAAUCCAGAACAUGCUAAGUCCUGUCUUUUGAAAGUCUAGGUCAAUGGUUCUUAAUCUUUCUUAGUCAUGGACCCCUUGGAGAAUCUGCUGAGAGCUAUGCAUCUCAGAAAAAAUGCACAAAAAUACAAAAUUUUGCAUAUACCGUAUUUUUCUGUGUAUAAGACACCCCCAUAAGACGCCCCCUACUUUUGGGGGACCCCAAAUUUAGAAAAUGGGCAUAUGCACUAUCCAUGUCUAAGACGCCCCCAUAUUUUAAACCUUAUUUUAAAGUAAAAAAAACCCCUAGUUUUAUACACUGAAAAGUACGGUAAUUUUAUUGCAUUGGUGGAUUUGUUGGCUUCCAGUUGAAACUUGCUGAAACUCCUCAAUCCAUUAACCCCAGGUUAAAAAGCCCUGGUCUUAGGUUAUUUGAAGAAAGAACCUGAAACCUUUAAAGGCAGGUAUUUCUUUCACUGUAGAGUGAAAAGGGGAUAAUUCAGGCUGCUGUGAGAUGUCUUUGUGAACAGUUUUUAAAAAGAAGAGGGAGCUGACACUUGUUUAUUUUCUUUUAUGCAAUAAAAUGUAUGUAUCACA